AUGUACAUCAUUGUCACUAAUCGAGGCCUCCUCAGAUUGUUGGUCUUUGUGCUGUGCACUACAGGUCUUAUUGGUGGGAGUGACGUCAAACAGACUGACAAACUGUGGAUACACAAGGGUGACAAUGCAACAAUAAGCUGCAGCCACACCAAGGGUGCUGGCUACAACCAGAUGUACUGGUACCGACAGCUGCCAGGAGAAGCAAUGAAACAAAUAGCGUUCACAACAACUGUCAGCAAAGUUCACGACUUUGGAGAAUUCAGCAAAGAGAAAUUCUCAGCCACUAAACCUAAUGCUGAGAGUGGAACAUUCACUGUGAAGAAUCUGGUCCCAGAAGAUAAAGGCUUGUACUUCUGUGCUGUUAGUGAGCACAGUGAUACAGACACGUGUGGAAGCUGA